rnacentral:rRNA from 1 species
CCUACGGGUGGCAGCAGUGAGGAAUAUUGGUCAAUGGGCGAGAGCCUGAACCAGCCAAGUCGCGUGAGGGAGUACUGCCCUAUGGGUUGUAAACCUCUUUUGUCGGGGAGCAAAAGCCGGACGUGUCCGGCUGUGAGAGUACCCGAAGAAAAAGCAUCGGCUAACCCCGUGCCAGCAGCCGCGGUAAUACGGAGGAUGCGAGCGUUAUCCGGAUUUAUUGGGUUUAAAGGGUGCGCAGGCGGAUUUUUAAGUCAGCGGUAAAAUCGUGGGGCGCAACCCCAUCCAGCCGUUGAAACUGGGGAUCUAGAGUGUGCGAGAGGUAUGCGGAAUGCGUGGUGUAGCGGUGAAAUGCAUAGAUAUCGCGCAGAACCCCGAUUGCGAAGGCAGCAUACCGGUGCACAACUGACGCUCAGGCACGAAAGCGUGGGUAUCGAACAGGAUUAGAUACCCCAGUAGUC